rnacentral:rRNA from 1 species
UACAGAGGGGGCAAGCGUUGUUCGGAAUUACUGGGCGUAAAGGGCGCGUAGGCGGCCUGCUAAGUCGAACGUGAAAUCCCCGGGCUCAACCCGGGAACUGCGUCCGAUACUGGCAGGCUUGAAUCCGGGAGAGGGAUGUGGAAUUCCAGGUGUAGCGGUGAAAUGCGUGGAUAUCUGGAGGAACACCGGUGGCGAAGGCGGCAUCCUGGACCAGUAUUGACGCUGAUGCGCGAAAGCCAGGGGAGCAAACGGG